rnacentral:rRNA from 1 species
AGAGACAGCAGUCGCCACGGGAAUACGGAGGGUGCAAGCGUUAAUCGGAAUUACUGGGCGUAAAGCGCACGCAGGCGGUCUGACAAGUCAGAUGUGAAAUCCCCGGGCUUAACCUGGGAACUGCAUUUGAAACUGUCAGGCUGGAGUCUUGUAGAGGGGGGUGGAAUUCCAGGUGUAGCGGUGAAAUGCGUAGAGAUCUGGAGGAAUACCGGUGGCGAAGGCGGCCCCCUGGACAAAGACUGACGCUCAGGUGCGAAAGCGUGGGGAGCAAACAGGAUUAGAUACCCCGGUAGUCCCUGUCUCUUAUAC